UUGCAGCCAGCCUCAAGCGGCCAGUCGAUGAAUUGCAGUUUUAGUCACUUCCUUAUUGGCUUCACGAGAGAGAGCGGGAGGUUGCCGCUCGAUGGCCACCAGCCCAGCACCACAGAUCUGGAGGCCGAGGCGGUGCCCGAUGCCGAGGCGGUUCCUGAGGCCGGAGCGGAGGCGGUGGCCGAGGCGGUUCCCGAUGCCGGGGCGGUGGCCGAGGCGGUGCCCGAGGCGGUGCCCGAUGCCGAGGCGGUUCCUGAGGCCGUUCCCGAGGCGGUGCCCGAUCGGAGGCCAGGCGGUGCCCGAUGCGGGGCCGAGGCGUGCCCGAGGGGUGCCCGAUCCGGAGGCAGGCGGUGCCCGAUGCGGCCGAGGCGGUGCCCGAGGUGGUGCCCGAUGCCGAGGCGGUGCCCGAUGCUGUUCCAGAGGCCGAUGCGGUGGCCGAGGCGGUGCCCGAUGCCGUUCCGGAGGCCGAGGCCGAGGCCGUUCCGGAGGCCGAGGCGGAUGCCGAGGCGGGGCCCGAGGCCGUUCCCGAAGCGGUGCCCGAGGCAGUGACCGAGGCGGUGCCCGAUGCCGAGGUGGUGCCCGAUGCUGUUCCAGAGGCCGAUGCGGUGGCCGAGGCGGUGCCCGAUGCCGUUCCGGAGGCCGAGGCGGUGCCCGAGGCCGUUCCGGAGGCCGAGGCGGUGCCCGAUGCCGAGGUGGUGCCCGAUGCUGUUCCGGAGGCCGAGGCGGUGCCCGAUGCCGUUCCGGAGGCCGAGGCGGUGCCCGAUGCUGUCCCGAGGCCGAGGCGGUGCCCGAUGCCGUUCCCGAGGCGGGGCCCGAGGCCGUUCCCGAUGCGGUGCCCGAGGCAGUGACCGAGGCGGUGCCCGAUGCCGAGGUGGUGCCCAAUGCUGUUCCGGAGGCCGAUGCGGUGGCCGAUGCGGUGCCCGAUGCUAUUCUGGAGGCCGAGGCAGUGCCCGAUGCCGAGGCGGUGCCCGAUACCGUUCCCCAGGCCGAGGCGGUGCCCGAUGCCGUUCCCGAGGCCGAGGCGGUUCCCGAUGCCGAUGCGGGGCCCGAAGCCGUUCCCGAUGCAUGCACGAGGCGGUGCCCGAUGCCGUUCCCGAGGUCGAGAUGGUUCCCGAUGCCAAGGCGGAUGCCGAUGCGGGGCCCGAGGCCGUUCCCGAUGCGGUGCCCGAGGCGGUGUCCGAUGCGGUGCCCGAGAUGGUUCCCGAAGCCAAGGCGCUUCACGUCUCCACAGACCGUCCAGAGCACCUUCACGUCUCCACAGGCCAUCCAGAGCACUUCCUGUCCCUGACGUCUUGGAGUGUCUGGUAGCCGCUCCGUAGAGGGGGGGUUAUGUCACAGUUUCUGGGUUGUGUUCCCUGGGUAACCACUAGAUGUCCUCCUUCCCCACGGUGUCGGUCACUUCCUGAACUACAUUCCCCACAAUCCCUGUCUCCUCAUUGCACUCAGCUGUCACUGGUUAGUAAUCAUUGCACUCAGUCAAUUCCCCAUUAGCGUUUGUCUCUCCCUGUGUAUUUAUACCCGGUCUGUCUUAGUAUGUGUCACGGAGUCCUUGUUUAUUCUCGUCUGUCUCUUGUCGUGCUCUAGCCUUGUGUCCUUGUUUGUUAUGUUGGAUAUGUUUGGUAUUGACCCCUGCCUGGACUGUUUAUUCUUUGGAUUGCCCUUAAUAAAAGACGUACUCGCAUUUGGAUCUCUCACCGUGUUUCCUUGUAUCCCGGACAUGACACCUUGUCUCAGACGACCACUGGGACAAGACCACAGGAAACAGAUGAUUCUUCUGCACAAUCUGACUUUGCUGCAGCCUGGAAUUGAACUGCUGGUUUCGUCUGGUCAGAGGAGAACUGGCCCCCCGACUGAGCCUGGUUUCUCCCAAGGUUUGUUCUCCAUUCUGUCACCGAUGGAGUUUUGGUUCCUUGCCACUGUCGCCUCUGGCUUGCUUAGUUGGGGACACUUCAUUUACAGCGAUGUUGUUGACUUGAUUGCAAAUAAUUGCACAGAUACUGUUUAAACUGAACUGAGCUGCAUGAUGACAUCACUGAAUUCAAUGAUGAACUGCCUUUAACUGUCAUUUUGCAUUGUUGACACACUGCUUUCCUAAUUAAUGUUGUUCAGUUGCUUUGACGCAAUCUUUUUUGUUUAAAGCGCUAUAUAAAUAAAGGUGACUUGACGACUUGAUGUGGAGAGACACAGGGGAGAGGAAUUGUUGAAUAAAGUCAUUAUUUUUGUUUUCUUUGUGUACAAAAAGUAUUCUCGUCGCUCCAUAACGUUACGAUUGAAUCACCGAUGGCAGAUGGACUAUUCUGACGAUGCUUUUCAUACUUUCCUGGACCUUGACACUGUUAUUUACUUGGCAGUCUAUGGGACAGUCUCAAAUCUCCCUGUUUUCAUCCAAAAUAUCUUAAAUUGUGUUCUGAAGACGAAUAAAGCUUUUACGGGUUUGGAACAACAUGGGGGUAAGUGAAUACUGACAAAAUUUUCAUUUUGGGAUGGAGUAUCCCUUUAACUUUAGGAAGUACAAGCAUGACAGCACAUCAUGCAGAAAAAAUAAAACAACAAAAACAUUCCCAAUUUCCACUCAGCCAGCACAGAAAUAUUGUUCUUACAGCCAUUUAAUCCCUUUUACUUUACACUGUGGACAAAUGGUGGACAGUCUGUCUGGCCAGAAAAUUCAAAGUUUUGAUUUUCGGUCUGAUGAAGGUGGCCAUGCAUGUGUGCACUAAUUGUGAAAAAUAAAACUACCUUCCCAGAUUACAUAAACAUUUAUAGGAGCUGUGCUCAUUUUCAAAAGGCUUAGGAAAAGUAAUCUAAAUAAAAUUUAUCACAAAUUUUAUCAAAACUGAUGCAUCCCAGAUCCUUGGGGGGGGAAUACUUUUAAUGUUUUCUCACAGACUUUUAACCUCUACAUUGUUCAUUGGAAAAUUAAAUAAUAAUAAUAAUAAAUAAAUUCUGAAAUAUGGCCAUAGCAAAAGGUUAAACAAAUAAAAAGCAAAUAAACUAAAAGUCCAUUAAAGGACCACACUCUGGCACUUCUCCAGCUUGUGACAUGGAAUGUCAACACAGGACACUUUUUAAUGAAUUGGAGCUAAACCACACCAUGUAUGGUACAGAGUUUGUGGUUUGACAGUAUGGUCACCUACCACAUGGUUUGACACACCUUUGAGCUGCUCUGCUUUAUCAUAAAUGAUCUUGACAUGUUUGUGAACAGAUUUGGCCCACAUGUGGCACUUUGUCUUCUCAUCAAUUUUUCAAAGGGCAAAAAUUAUCUCAGCAUGCCCAACAUGUUUAAACAUGAUGGAUAAGUACAUGCAAAGGAGGAGGGUCUUUUAUUUGUUUACAUACAGCCUCUCCCUGAAUUUGUUUUUUAGGAAAUUGAAAAGGCAGCUUAAACGUUUUACUUAGACCCUAAUAGCAGAACGAAGAAACUGAUUGUAGCAUCAAUGCAACCAGCAGAUUCAUGUAUUUACAAAAGAACAAUAUACAUUUUGUUAAUAAAAGACUGGUCAAAUGGUCAGAUUCUUCUAUCACCACUAUAUUUAAAAACAAUGAGAAGAAUAUGGUUUCUUGUAAUACAUACCAGAUCUUUAAGUAUUAUAUAAGUGCCUGAAAUAGCAAAUCUUUCCAGUAAUCUCCAUUCGGUACCUUAAAAAUACCAACCUCUACCUAGAAUAUGACAAGAUUAUAAAUGAACGAUAAAAAGAAAACUGAACAUGUUAAAAUAAUAAAACUAAAUAUCUGCAUCAUUCAGGUUAUUCCGGUUAAAUAAAGUAGGGUACUAUGAUUACUAAGUACUAAACUCAAACUAAGAGAGAUGUUCUAGACAUAUGACAUCAAAACCACCUUACAUAAGGUUAGGUUUCUAGUGUUUCUCAUUUGUAAGUCACUUUGAAUAAAUGUAAAUGUUAUA
rnacentral:lncRNA from 12 species